GAUCUUGGUGGUAGUAGCA
rnacentral:ncRNA from 3 species